rnacentral:rRNA from 1 species
UUGAUGGAGAAUUUGAUCCUGGUUCAGAACGAACGUUGGCGGCGUGGAUGAGGCAUGCAAGUCGAUCGGUAAGGCCCCUUCGGGGGUACACGAGAGGCGAAAGGGUGAGUAAUAACUGGUUAAUCUACCCUUGAGUGGGGGAUAACCCUG